AUGUCGAUUUGGAGGUUGUGCCCUUGAGGCGUGGCUUCCGGAGCUAACGCGUUAAAUCGACCGCCUGGGGAGUACGGCCGCAAGGUUAAAACUCAAAUGAAUUGACGGGGGCCCGCACAAGCGGUGGAGCAUGUGGUUUAAUUCGAUGCAACGCGAAGAACCUUACCUACUCUUGACAUCCAGAGAACUUUCCAGAGAUGGAUUGGUGCCUUCGGGAACUCCGAGACAGGUGCUGCAUGGCUGUCGUCAGCUCGUGUUGUGAAAUGUUGGGUUAAGUCCCGCAACGAGCGCAACCCUUAUCCUUUGUUGCCAGCGGUUCGGCCGGGAACUCAAAGGAGACUGCCAGUGAUAAACUGGAGGAAGGUGGGGAUGACGUCAAGUCAUCAUGGCCCUUACGAGUAGGGCUACACACGUGCUACAAUGGCAUAUACAAAGAGAAGCGACCUCGCGAGAGCAAGCGGACCUCAUAAAGUAUGUCGUAGUCCGGAUUGGAGUCUGCAACUCGACUCCAUGAAGUCGGAAUCGCUAGUAAUCGUAGAUCAGAAUGCUACGGUGAAUACGUUCCCGGGCCUUGUACACACCGCCCGUCACACCAUGGGAGUGGGUUGCAAAAGAAGUAGGUAGCUUAACCUUCGGGAGGGCGCUUACCACUUUGUGAUUCAUGACUGGGGUGAAGUCGUAACAAGGUAACCGUAGGGGAACCUGC
rnacentral:rRNA from 1 species